GGUCUACCCGAGCGCCUCCUGCGAACAAAGAAGAAGGGGGAUCAGUCCUUUUCUUGGAUUCCGGAGAAGGGAUUUCCCUACAGCCGCGAGCUCCUGGUAGGCGCCUGCUGGCCUCCUGACCAAGAUGGCCUGCUGCGAGGGGGUUCGUAGUCUCCAGAGUUUCCUGGAAAAGACGCAGAGUGAGACGAGAACUGCCGGCUACCCGUAUAUCUACCUUACCUGGUCUGGACUUGGAGACAGCUUGGCCUGGCGAUCAGGAAGUGUCCUAUGCCAAGUCAAGGAUUAGGUCUGAAGUUCUCUGCUGCUCCUGUCCUGCUCUCCGGUGACCACCGACGGCUGGUUCAUGGAUGACGUUUUUCUGUGCCGGAGUUGUGCCAUGCUGGUCCCACCAUCACGCCACGCA